GUCUAUGGCCAUACCACCCUGAAUAUGCCCAAUCUCAUCUGCUUUCAGAAACUAAGUAGGGUUGGGCCUGUUUAGUAUUUGGAUGGGAGGCCAUCUUGGGAAUACUAGGUGCUGUAUGCU
ensembl:rRNA 5S_rRNA 5S ribosomal RNA